rnacentral:rRNA from 1 species
ACGUACACUCCUGCGGGAGGCAGCAGUGGGGAAUAUUGGACAAUGGGCGCAAGCCUGAUCCAGCCAUGCCGCGUGAGUGAUGAAGGCCCUAGGGUUGUAAAGCUCUUUCACCGGUGAAGAUAAUGACGGUAACCGGAGAAGAAGCCCCGGCUAACUUCGUGCCAGCAGCCGCGGUAAUACGAAGGGGGCUAGCGUUGUUCGGAUUUACUGGGCGUAAAGCGCACGUAGGCGGACUAUUAAGUCAGGGGUGAAAUCCCGGGGCUCAACCCCGGAACUGCCUUUGAUACUGGUAGUCUUUAGUUCGAGAGAGGUGAGUGGAAUUCCGAGUGUAGAGGUGAAAUUCGUAGAUAUUCGGAGGAACACCAGUGGCGAAGGCGGCUCACUGGCUCGAUACUGACGCUGAGGUGCGAAAGCGUGGGGAGCAAACAGGAUUAGAUACCCGGGUAGUCCCA